UGAGAUUUCUACCUCUAUUUAUAGGCAAAACUUAAACCUCCUUAAGAUCAAGUGGCCUUACUUUACAACCUAUGCUUAGUUGUUUACAACUCGUUCUUAGUUGUCAUCAAGUGGAUUUGUUUACAACUUUCCUUGCAAGUUGUCGCCAACUCGAUCUUAGCUUGCAUAGAAGAUAUUAUUCUUGCCAACUCGUGCUUAGCUUGCACCUUUGAUAAUAUCUUCGCCAACUCGCGCUUAGCUCGUAUCUUUGAUAAUAUCUUGCAAGUGGCACAAGUGGACAAGUUGUGCAAGUUGCCUACUUGCACCCCAAAAUAUCCCGCUGCAGGUUCAUGUAUUUUUCCUCCAAAAUGGCGGGGUCGGGAUCUAGAAAAACCUCAUGAAAGUCCCGAAAAGUUGCACCAUUUUAGGCAGCCUGCAUUCUGCCCAUUCCAUCCUAUUGCAGCGUGCGGUUCACGCUAUUUUGCGGCCACUACCGGGAUGGAUCGAACGCGACCGCGUGGAGCGUAAGUCA
rnacentral:lncRNA from 1 species